UGAUAUGAGGUCUAAUGGGUCCUGUGA
rnacentral:sRNA from 1 species